CCUACGGGUGGCAGCAGUGAGGAAUAUUGGUCAAUGGACGAGAGUCUGAACCAGCCAAGUAGCGUGAAGGAUGACUGCCCUAUGGGUUGUAAACUUCUUUUAUAUGGGAAUAAAAUGUUCCACGUGUGGGAUUUUGUAUGUACCAUAUGAAUAAGGAUCGGCUAACUCCGUGCCAGCAGCCGCGGUAAUACGGAGGAUCCGAGCGUUAUCCGGAUUUAUUGGGUUUAAAGGGAGCGUAGGUGGAUUGUUAAGUCAGUUGUGAAAGUUUGCGGCUCAACCGUAAAAUUGCAGUUGAAACUGGCAGUCUUGAGUACAGUAGAGGUGGGCGGAAUUCGUGGUGUAGCGGUGAAAUGCUUAGAUAUCACGAAGAACUCCGAUUGCGAAGGCAGUUCACUGGACUGCAACUGACACUGAGGCUCGAAAGUGUGGGUAUCAAACAUGAUUAGAUACCCGAGUAGUC
rnacentral:rRNA from 1 species